rnacentral:rRNA from 1 species
CUUUAUCGGAGAGUUUGAUCCUGGCUCAGGACGAAC